UACAGAGGUCUCGAGCGUUAGGCGGAAUCACUGGGCUUAAAGCGUGUGUAGGCGGCGGGCUAAGUACCUUGUGAAAUCCCACGGCUUAACUGUGGAACUGCUGGGUAUACUGGUUCGCUUGAGCGGUCUAGGGGCGAGCGGAACAAAUGGUGGAGCGGUGAAAUGCGUUGAUAUCAGAAGGAACGCCGGUGGCGAAAGCGACGCACUGGACCUCUUCUGACGCUGAGGCGCGAAAGCUAGGGGAGCAAACGGG
rnacentral:rRNA from 1 species